rnacentral:rRNA from 10 species
GCGGCGGACGGGUGAGUAACACGUGGGCAACCUGCCCUGCAGACUGGGAUAACUUCGGGAAACCGGAGCUAAUACCGGAUAACACCGAAAACCGCAUGGUUUUCGGUUGAAAGGCGGCUUUUAGCUGUCACUGCAGGAUGGGCCCGCGGCGCAUUAGCUAGUUGGUGAGGUAACGGCUCACCAAGGCGACGAUGCGUAGCCGACCUGAGAGGGUGACCGGCCACACUGGGACUGAGACACGGCCCAGACUCCUACGGGAGGCAGCAGUAGGGAAUCUUCCGCAAUGGACGAAAGUCUGACGGAGCAACGCCGCGUGAGCGAAGAAGGUCUUCGGAUCGUAAAGCUCUGUUGUCAGGGAAGAACAAGUGCCGUUCGAACAGGGCGGUACCUUGACGGUACCUGACAAGGAACCCACGGCUAACUACUUGCCACCACCCGCGGUAAUAC